rnacentral:rRNA from 1 species
UACGGAGGGGGCUAGCGUUGUUCGGAAUUACUGGGCGUAAAGCGCACGUAGGCGGACUGAAAAGUUGGAGGUGAAAUCCUGGGGCUCAACCCCAGAACGGCCUUCAAAACUAUCAGUCUGGAGUUCGAGAGAGGUGAGUGGAAUUCCGAGUGUAGAGGUGAAAUUCGUAGAUAUUCGGAGGAACACCAGUGGCGAAGGCGGCUCACUGGCUCGAUACUGACGCUGAGGUGCGAAAGCGUGGGGAGCAAACAGG